CCUACGGGAGGCAGCAGUGAGGAAUAUUGGUCAAUGGGGGAAACCCUGAUGCAGCGACGCCGCGUGAGUGAAGAAGUAUUUCGGUAUGUAAAGCUCUAUCAGCAGGGAAGAAGCAAGACGGUACCUGACUAAGAAGCCCCGGCUAACUACGUGCCAGCAGCCGCGGCAAUCCGAAGGGGGCAAGCGUUAUCCGGAUUUACUGGGUGUAAAGGGAUCGUAGACGGUAAUGCAAGUCGGAAGUGAAUGCCCAGGGCUUAACCCUGGGACUGCAUUGGAAACUGUUAGACUAGAGUGUUGGAGAGGUAAGUGGAAUACCUAGUGUAGCGGUGAAAUGCGUAGAUAUUAGGAGGAACACCAGUGGCGAAGGCGGCUUACUGGACAGUAACUGACGUUGAGGCUCGAAAGCGUGGGGAGCAAACAGGAUUAGAUACCCGAGUAGUC
rnacentral:rRNA from 1 species